rnacentral:lncRNA from 1 species
CUUGUUUUAUUUUGCAAUUCCCUAGUGACAUAUCAUGAUAAGCAUCUUCUCAUAUGCCUGCUUGCCAUCUGCAUGUCUUCUUUGAGGUGUCUGUUCAUAUCUUUUGGCCACUUUUAAUCAUCCUGAACUUUUCACAAUCUAUUUAGAAUUAAUACUGUACCGCCUCACAUAAAAAAUAAGGACACUGCAGCUAUAUAAGUCUACUUACUCCCCUCUCCCACCACCUUUGAGUUAUUGUGUCAUAUGUUUUAUAUCUGCAUACAUUUUAAGCCCCAUAAUACAAUAUUAUAAUUUCCUUUUUUUUUUUUUUUUUUUUUGAGACGGAGUCUCACUCUCUUGCCCAGGCUGGAGUGCAGUAGUGAGAUCUCAGCUCACUGCAACCUCCACCUCCUAGGUUCAAGCGAUUCUCCUGCCUCAGCCUCCCGAGUAGCUGGGAUUACAGAUGUGUGCCGCCACGCCCGGCUAAUUUUUUGUAUUUUUAGUAGAGACGGGGUUUCAUCAUCUUGGUCAGACUGGUCUCGAACUCCUGACCUCAAGUGAUCCACCCGCCUCAGCCUCCCAAAGUGCUGGGAUUAUAGGCGUGAUUAUAGGCCACUGUGCCUGGCCUAUAAUUUCUUAUUUAAACAGCUAGUUGUUUUCUGAAGAAAUUAUGAAAAUAAACUUCCAGAUAGUUUUUUAAUAGUUGCCUAUAUAUUUGCCAUUUCUGAUGUUUUUAUUUCUUCUCAACUUCCAACUUAUAUUAUAUCCCUUCACUCUAAAGCAUUUCUUUUUUCUUUUAAUGUUUCUUGCAGUGCAUAUCUGCUAGUAACUAAUUCUCUCAGCUUUUGCUGAUUGGAACAUGCCUUUUUUUUUUUUUUUUUUUUUUGAAAUGAUGUCUUGCUCUGUCGCCCAGGUUGCAGUGAACUGAGAUCUCACUACUGCACUCCAGCCUGGGCAAGAGAGUGAGACUCCAUCUCAAAAAAAAAAAAAUUUUUUUGUAUUUUUAGUAG